UACGGAGGGGACUAGCGUUGUUCGGAAUUACUGGGCGUAAAGCGCACGUAGGCGGAUUUGUAAGUCAGGGGUGAAAUCCCGGGGCUCAACCUCGGAACUGCCUUUGAUACUGCAAAUCUCGAGUCCGGAAGAGGUGAGUGGAAUUCCUAGUGUAGAGGUGAAAUUCGUAGAUAUUAGGAAGAACACCAGUGGCGAAGGCGGCUCACUGGUCCGGUACUGACGCUGAGGUGCGAAAAGCGUGGGGAGCAAACAGG
rnacentral:rRNA from 1 species